rnacentral:rRNA from 1 species
ACCUACGGGAGGCAGCAGUCGAGAAUUUUUCACAAUGGGCGAAAGCCUGAUGGAGCGACGCCGCGUGGGGGAUGAAUGGCUUCGGCCCGUAAACCCCUGUCAUUCGGGAUCAAAUCUGCCAACCUAACACGUUGUCAGUUGAUAGUACUGAAAGAGGAAGGGACGGCUAACUCUGUGCCAGCAGCCGCGGUAAUACAGAGGUCCCAAGCGUUGUUCGGAUUUACUGGGCGUAAAGGGAGCGUAGGUGGCAGGCCAAGUCUAAUGUGAAAGCUCUGAGCUUAACUCAGAAAUGGCAUUGGAUACUGGUUUGCUUGAGGAUUGGAGGGGAGACUGGAAUACUUGGUGUAGCAGUGAAAUGCGUAGAUAUCAAGUGGAACACCAGUGGCGAAGGCGAGUCUCUGGACAAUUCCUGACACUGAUGCUCGAAAGCUAGGGGAGCAAACGGGAUUAGAUACCCCGGUAGG